GCCGGGCUUGGUGGCGCGUGUCUGUAGUCCCAGCCACUCAGGAGGCUGAGGCUGGAGGAUCUCUUGAGUCCAGGAGUUCUGGGCUGCAGUGCGCUAUGCUGAUCGGGUGUCCACACUAAGUUUGGCAUCAAUAUGGUGACCUCCCGGGAGCAGGGGACUACCAGGUUGCCUAAGGAGGGGUGAACCGGCCCAGGUCGGAAACAGAGCAGGUCAAAACUCCUGUGCUGAUCAGUAGUGGGAUCGCGCCUGUGAACAGCCACUGCACUCCAGCCUGGGCAACAUAGCGAGACCCCGUCUCU
rnacentral:SRP_RNA from 1 species